UGGGGAAUUUUGGACAAUGGGCGAAAGCCUGAUCCAGCAAUGCCGCGUGUGUGAAGAAGGCCUUCGGGUUGUAAAGCACUUUUGUCCGGAAAGAAAUCCUUGGCUCUAAUACAGUCGGGGGAUGACGGUACCGGAAGAAUAAGCACCGGCUAACUACGUGCCAGCAGCCGCGGUAAUACGUAGGGUGCAAGCGUUAAUCGGAAUUACUGGGCGUAAAGCGUGCACAGGCGGUUUGCUAAGACCGAUGUGAAAUCCCCGGGCUCAACCUGGGAACUGCAUUGGUGACUGGCAGGCUAGAGUAUGGCAGAGGGGGGUAGAAUUCCACGUGUAGCAGUGAAAUGCGUAGAGAUGUGGAGGAAUACCGAUGGCGAAGGCAGCCCCCUGGGCCAAUACUGACGCUCAUGCACGAAAGCGUGGGGAGCAAACAGGAUUAGAUACCCUGGUAGUCCACGCCCUAAACGAUGUCAACUAGUUGUUGGGGAUUCAUUCCUUAGUAACGUAGCUAACGCGUGAAGUUGACCGCCUGGGGAGUACGGUCGCAAGAUUAAAACUUAAAGGAAUUGACGGGGUCAUAGCUGUUUCCU
rnacentral:rRNA from 1 species